CCUACGGGUGGCUGCAGUGGGGAAUAUUGGACAAUGGGGGGAACCCUGAUCCAGCCAUGCCGCGUGUGUGAAGAAGGCCCUCGGGUUGUAAAGCACUUUCAGUGAGGAAGAACGCCUGGUGGUUAAUACCCAUCAGGAAAGACAUCACUCACAGAAGAAGCACCGGCUAACUCCGUGCCAGCAGCCGCGGUAAUACGGAGGGUGCGAGCGUUAAUCGGAAUUACUGGGCGUAAAGCGCGCGUAGGUGGCUUGAUAAGCCGGUUGUGAAAGCCCCGGGCUCAACCUGUGAACGGCAUCCGGAACUGUCAAGCUAGAGUGCAGGAGAGGAAGGUAGAAUUCCCGGUGUAGCGGUGAAAUGCGUAGAGAUCGGGAGGAAUACCAGUGGCGAAGGCGGCCUUCUGGACUGUCACUGACACUGAGGUGCGAAAGCGUGGGUAGCAAACAGGAUUAGAUACCCUUGUAGUC
rnacentral:rRNA from 1 species